GCAACACAUCGUCUUGUCUGCCGGAAAUCACACAAAGAAGUAGUAAACGGAAGUGAAUCGUGCCCAGGAACAGUUUCGACGUUAACGUUUUGUUGUUAUUUAGACGUUUAUUAACACCCUGGAACUGAAAAUAUCACACACUUACCCCAGGGUAGUGUUUAAUUCGCGUUGAAGACGGGACUUGGUUGGUAGAUGUUAUCUAGGUAAUGCUAACUAUCUAGCCGCUAAGAAUGGCUAACUGUAACGUAAUGGUUUUUCACACUCAAAUAGCCUCCGUUAUGGAGGUGCUAGCGAAUGCAGCCGUGGCAGAGAUCUGUAAACUCGUAGACGACGACUAUGCAGUGUUUCGUUUGGAAAUAACUCAAAGCCAGAAAGAAAACCGGGCAUUGCGGAGGAAACUACAGCUACUGGAACUGAAGGUGGCACGGGAGCGCGCAGAGAGGACAAUACGAGAGCGCGUCCUCGCCAGUCGUCCCAGUAAUGUCAAGAUCCUCGACCGAUACAGAGGAAUGGCAAGAGGUGAAGGACAUCUCACUGGAGGCCACAGGAGCUUUGUGAAGCCAGCGAGAGACAAUACAUGGAGACAUGACCAACCAGUCAUUGUUGAUGAGGGGAGUGGAACCUCAACCCAGCACUUUAUGGUGAUAGAGUCUACAGAUGCAGAGGCUGCAGGUCUUGGGGUGAAGCAGGAGAGGUCUGAAGGAGAGGACCCACGGCACAGCAGAGACAUCCAGACUGGAGCAGCUGGAGCGCACCCUGUAGCCACAGAAGACCCCACCACCACCCCAGCACUGCCCAGGACCAGACACAGCAUCACGGAGGAGGAGGGUCCAGAGUUGCUGCUGGUGAAGGAGGAGGGUGUGGGUAACCCUGAGGGGGCCAUGGUCAUGGAGGACAACCAGUCUACACCUCCCCCUGAACCCACAGAGGAACCAGCUGAGCAGCACAGGACCACACACAGUCUCACUGAGUCAGUAGACAUGGAGGAUGGGAAGCCUGAUCUGCUGCUGGUCAAAGAGGAGACAAUAGAAGAUGGACCAGAGAGCAUUGAUCUGCUGAGUGGACUAAAGAUGGGGGAGCAAGGUGGUUGGCUGGAGGCUAACAGAGGAGACAGAGGAGACUGGGCGACCAUCUUGGAUUACCAGACCCAGACCGGUGCAGCCAAGGGCUUAAGGGACAACAUCACUGAGCAGGCCAGGACCAGAGGUGACAUAGUGGAGGUCAGUGGAUGGGACAGCGUCUUGAACUCUGGGCUGGGGAACAACACUGUUAACCAGAAACAGACCGUCGAACACAAAACAACAACCGAACUUAGUCUCCAUGACAACAGACUGGCUGAGACCAGGGCGAGGCAUUGCUUUGGUCUGCAGGGACGGGAAGGUGUCGGUAUGGGGCGGGAGAGAACACACACAGACUUGGCUAGCGAUGCUCCGUCCUGCUCCUAUAGUUGUGAUUCAGAGAGACUGAUGACUCCUCAGGUUAACCCCCUAACAGGUGCUGCCUUCAGCCUGCCUCCUAUAGGAUCUAUCAACUGGAACAUGGACCCUGCAACAACACAGACACUCCCUGGCCUUCAUCCUCCUCACACUCUCCUUAUGUUAAACCAAACAUCAGGCAAUGCCAGUUCCUCAACACUAAAUGGCUACACAAGCCCAUUGACAAAUGACAGUAGUAGAGACAGAAUCAGUAAAGGUGGCAGCGCCAUAGAGAAGCGCUUCACGUGUUCAUUCUGUGGGAAAGCCUUCAGUUUCCCCCAACAGGUGGAGAUCCAUCAGAGGAUGCACACGGGGGAGAAACCAUAUGGCUGCCACCUGUGCCGGGCCACUUUCUCCCAAUCGUCCAGUCUGAAUAGGCACCAAAGAGUCCACACAGGGGAGAAACCCUUCAGCUGUAACCAGUGUAACAUGCGCUUUGCCCAUGCUGGCAACCUGAAGAGACACCAGAGGGUCCACACAGAGGAGAAACAAUACAGCUGACCCCAGUGUGAGAAGAGAUUCUCCUGCUAGCAGCAGCUGAAGAUGCACCUGAAGAUCCACACGGGAGAGAGGUGGUUCGCAAUGCAGGAGGAGGAUUUUAGAAAGGAGUUACCUCAGGAUACACCUGCAGAAAAACCAUUCCACUCUAUAACAUAGAAAGUAACUAUUCCUCUUAAUCGAGACUGCGAUGCAUUAAAAACAAACAUCAAUUGUCAUUAUUGUCAGCAGAAAAUAUAUUUUUGAUUUGACCUUUAUUUUAACAGGGAGUCAACAUUGAGACCAGGGUCUCUUUCACAAGGGAGCCCUGCAUAUACAAUGAAUAGGACUAAAUAAAAUCAGAUACAAUGUAAAAGAAAUACAGCACAACACAAAUGUUCAAGAAAAACAGUUACAUUCCUCUGUAAGAAUUGCCGAACAGACCAGAACACCCAAUUGUAAUGUAUUUUGUAGUUGGUUCCAUCAAUGAGGUGCAUUUAAAACUAAAAGUGGAGAUCCGAGGAACCUCAAGAGUUAACCAACCCUGUAAACGGGUUUGGGAUCUCAUGUUUUUAUACUUCAACAAUGAAGUUAGGUAAGUUGGAAACUUGUAUAGUAAAGCUUUGUAACAAAAAGAGACUUUCAUGAGGACCAGCCAACCUUUUGAUACAGGAUGCAGUGGUGAGUAUUACACAGAUGCAUUUGAUAUUACUAGAGUAACAGAUGUGUUGAAUAUUCCUGGGUAGUCUAUAUUGUAUCCAGACAUGUUGUGAUAUAUAAGGCAUAUACAAUGCCUUCAGAAAGUAUCCACACCUCUGGACUUUUUCCACAUUUUAUUGUGUUCGAGCCUGAAUUUACAUGUUUUAUUUGUUUGUCACUGGCCUACACACAAUGCCCCAUAAUGUCAAAGUGAAAAUGUUUUUAGAAAUGUUGACAAAUUAAUUAAAAAAUGAAAAGCUGAAACAUUUUUAGUCAAAAGUAUUCCACCCGUAAAUACAUUCAGGAGUAAAAAUGAGCUUAACAAGUCACAUAAUAAGUUGCAUGGACUCACUCUGUGUGCAAUAAUAGCGUUUUACAAUUAUCUCCAAGGGUCCUUCAGGCGAGAAAUGAAUUUCAAACACAGAUUAGAUUCAACCACAAAGACCAAGGAGGUUUUCCAAUGCCUCGCAAAGAAGGGCACCUAUUGGUAGAUGGGUAAAAAGAAAAAAGCAGACAUUGUAUAUCCCUUUGAGCAUGGUGAAGUUAUUAAUUACACUUUGGAUGGUGUAUCAAUACACUAAAGUAAUUCUGCAAGAAAUGUGGCAAAGCAGUACAUUUUUUGUCCUAAAUACAAAGUGUUAUGUUUGGGGCUAAUCCAAUACAAGACAUUACUGAGUACAACUCUCCACAUUUUCAAGCAUAUAGGUGGCUGCAUCAUGUUAUGGUUAUGCUUGUAAUCGUUAAUUAUUGCAGUGUUUUUCAGGAUAAAAAUGAAACGGAAUGGAACAAAAUCCAAGAGGAAAACCUGGUUCAGUCUGCUUUCCACCAGACACUGGGAGGAAUUCACCUUUGCAGGACAGUAACCUAAAACACAAGGCCAAAUAUACACUGGAGUUGCUUACCAAGAAGACAGUGAAUUUUCCUGAGUGGCUGAGUUACAGUUUUGACUUACAUCUACUUGAGAAUCUAUGGCAAGACCUGAAAAUUGUUAUCUAGAGUCUCAUCUGAAUUCCAUGUCAGAAGAGCAUAGCCCUCCACUUUCACAGUCACCUCAUCUAAGACCAGACCCUCUCCUUUCUUAUCUAGGCACCCUUCAGAGUAUACACUGCUACUGUACCGGUUCCGGUCCCCUCUCAUUGGAUUAGAUUACAGUACCUUCAGAAAGUAUUCAUACCCCUUGACUUAUUCCACAUGUUGUUGUGUUACGGCUGAAUUAAAAAUGGAUUAAAAACAUUUUAUCACCCAUCUACACACAAAACCCCAUAAUGACAAAGUGAAAACAGGUUUAUUGAAAUGUUAUUGAAAAUUAAGUACAUAAAUGUAUAAUUUAUGUAAUUAUUCACACCCGAAUACUUUGUAGAAACAAUGUUGGUUGCGAUUACAGCUGUGAAUCUUUCUGGGUACGUCUCCAAGAGCUUUCUAAACCUGCAUAUUAUUUUCAAACUUCAUCAAGUUCUAUCAAAUUGCUUGUUCAUCAUUUUUAGGUCUUGCCAUAGAUUCUCAAGACGAUUUAAGUCAAAACUGUAACUCGGUCAUUCAAGAAAACUCACUGUCUUCUUGGUAAGCAACUCCAGUGUAGAUUUGGCCUUGUGUUUAAAAAAAAGAUUUUAACAGAUAUUAUUCAUCCUGAUCAGACGGGAUUUUUACAUGGACGAUAUAUUGGAGAUAAUAUACAACAAUUACUUGAACAUUAUGAAACAUCGAAGAUACCAGGUAUGAUCUUCAUAGCAGAUUUUGAAAAGACGUUUUAUAAAGUACGACUACAAUUUAUAUAUAAAUGUCUGGAUUACUUUAGUUUUGGUGAAUCUCUUAUACAAUGUGUUAAAGUUAAGUACAGCAACCCCAGAUGUAAAAUAGUAAAUAAUGGUUACUUCUCAGAAAAUAUUGAGCUUUUUAAGUAAAACAAGGCUGUCCGUUGUCUCCAUAUCUAUUUAUUAUGGCCAUUGAAAUGCUAGCUAUUAAAAUUAGACCCAACAAGAACAGGGGGUUAGAAAUCCAGGGGAUAAAAACAAAAGUGUCAAUGUAUGCCGAUGAUUCUAGUUUUGUCUUAAGUACACAAUCUGGAUCCCUGCACAGUCUCAUUGAAGGUCUUAAUCACUUUUCUAGCCUCUCUGGAUUAAAACCUAAUUACGACAAGUGCACCAUAUUAUGUAUUGGAUCAUAAAAAAAAUAGUGUUUACACUACCAUGUAGUUUACCAAUAAAAUGGGCGGAUGGUGAAGUAGACAUACUUGGUUUUCACAUUUAAAAAAUAUAGUUGAAUUUACCACAAUUAAUUUCAAUAGAAAGUUAGCAAAGAUAGAUAUGAUUCUGCAACCAUGAAGAGGUAAAUACUCUAUGGAAAAAUCACAUUGAUUAACUCUUUGGUCCUAUCACAGUUUACUUACUUACUAAUGGCACUGCCUACUCCAGAUGACUAAUUUUUUAAAUCAUAUGAGCAACAAAAAAAAGGCUAAGCCAGACCAAAUAAAAUAUGCCUAUUCAUAUAAUGGAUAUGAGUUUGGGGGGCUAAAAUUAUUAAAAAUUAAAGCUUUAAACCUCUCACUAAAAGCUUCACUCAUACAUAAAUGAUACUUAAACCCAAAAUGGUUCUCCAGUAGAUUAUUAAAGGCUCAUCCUUUGUUCAAAAAUGGCCUUUUUGCCUUUAUACAGAUUGCAACUUCUCAUUUCUGACUAAUUGAAAAUGAAAUUUUGUUUAACGUAUCGCCCUUUCUUAAACAAGCCAUACAAAGCUGGUUACAAUUUCAGUUUUAUCCUCCAGAAAAUAUAGAAUAUUACAACAAAUGUUAUGGUUAUACCCAAAUAUACGGAUUAAUAAAAAAAAGGGUUGAAAGGGUAUUAUAUUUAGGGUAUUAUAUUUAUUAAUUAUAUUAUGAAUAGAUGAAUAGAUAUAUAUUAUGAAUAGAAACUGAGGAGUUGUGUCACAUAACAUAUGUUAUCGAAAAUAUAUGGGAAUAUCUGCUCAAUCCAAAUUUACAACCAACUGAAUGCAGCACUACCACAAAAAUGGAGGAGGCAAGUGGAAAGGGGAGAAGGUAGGGAACUUGUUUGCCUACCAUAUAUUAAAGAUACAAAUUGGCUGAAAGGAACUGGCAUAAAUAGAAACAGCUGCGCCAUACAGGACAGCUGCGCCAUACAGGUUGCAAAAUAAAUGGGAGGAGAUUUUCGAUGUACCAAUUCCAUCUCACAUGGUUUAUGAACUGGUACAAAAUCUACACUUGAUUCAACACUUACAGUUUUUCAAUUUAAAUUAUUAUAUAACAUACUUGCCACCGACAGAAUGCUAUAUACAGUGGGGCAAAAAAGUAUUUAGUCAGCCACCAAUUGUGCAAGUUCUCCCACUUAAAAAGAUGAGAGAGGCCUGUAAUUUUCAUCAUAGGUACACUUCAACUAUGACAGACAAAAUGAGAAAAAAAAAUCCAGAAAAUCACAUUGGAGGAUUUUUAAUGAAUUUAUUUGCAAAUUAUGGAUGUUGUGUGUAUGGAACAUUUCUGAGAACUUUUAUAACGGCUCAUGAAACAAGGGACGUUGUGAUAUUUUUUAUUUAAAAAAAAAUCUGUUGUCAUUUGAUUUUUUUUUGUGCCGUGAAAAAGUAUGUGCCUCCUUUAGGAUUUUCUCUAUUUCCACAAAUUUUUGAUACUGAAUGUCAUCAGAUCUUCAACCAAAACCUAAUAUCAGAUAAAGGGAACCUGAGUUUACAAAUAAUCCCCCAAAAUAUAUAUUUGAUUUAAUUAACAAAGUUAUGCAACACCCAAUUCCACUGUGUGAAAAAGUAAUAGCCCCCUUAUACUCAAUAACUGGGUGUGCCACCUUUAGCUGCAAUGACUGCAACCAAAUGGUUCCUGUAGUUGUUGAUCAGUCUCUCAUGUCGCUGUGGAGGGAUUUUCACCCACUUUUGCAUGCAGAACUGCUUUAACUCAGCGACAUUUGUUGGUUUUCAAACAUUUAAUGCUCGUUUCAAGUCUGGCCACAUCCCAAUUGGGAUUAGGUCUGGUCUUUGACUAGGCCUUUACAAAACUUCACAUUUGUUGCUUUUUAACCAUUUUCAUGUAGACUUGAUUGUUUGUUUUGGAUCAUUGUCUUGCUGCAUGACCAAGCUGUGCUUCAGCUCAGAUGGAUGGCCUGACAUUCUCCUGUAGAAUUAUCUAAUACAGAGCAGAACUCAUGGUUCCUUUCUAUUAAGGCAUGUCGUCCAGGUCCUGAGGCAGCAAAGCAUCCCCAAACCAUCACACUGUUUUCCGGACUCUUCUGAUCCUUCUUAAAUAUUGUUCUUCUGUGAAUUGUUUUGGAUUGUUAGGUACUCUUGGAGCUAGAAACAUAAGCAUUUCGCUGCACCUGCGAUACCAUCUGCAAAAUAUGUUCAGUAGACAUGGAGGAUGGGAAGCCUGAUCUGUUGUUGGUCAAAGAGGAGACAAUAGAAGAUGUACCAGAGAGCAUUGACCUGCUGAGUGAACUAAAGAUGGGGGAGCAAG